GACGAAUGCUGGCUGCGUGCUUAACACAUGCAAGUCGAACGGUGAAGGAGAGCUUGCUCUCCGGAUCAGUGGCGAACGGGUGAGUAACACGUGGGCAACCUGCCCCUCACUCUGGGAUAACGCCGGGAAACCGGCGCUAAUACCGGAUACGACCAGGCGCGACAUCUCGCCUGGUGGAAAGAAUUUCGGUGAGGGAUGGGCCCGCGGCCUAUCAGCUUGUUGGUGGGGUAACGGCCCACCAAGGCGACGACGGGUAGCCGGCCUGAGAGGGCAACCGGCCACACUGGGACUGAGACACGGCCCAGACUCCUACGGGAGGCAGCAGUGGGGAAGAUUGCGCAAUGGGCGAAAGCCUGACGCAGCGACGCAGCGUGAGGGACGACGGCCUUCGGGUUGUAAACCUCUUUCAGCGGGGACGAAGCGAAAGUGACGGUACCCGCAGAAGAAGCACCGGCUAACUACGUGCCAGCCGCCGCGGUAAAAC
rnacentral:rRNA from 1 species